UCCAUGGAGUUCCAUGGCAAAAAGCCUGGAAAUCUGUGGAAUAUUGAAAUUUUCCAUGGAAGGUGAAUGGAACAGUAAGUUUGCCAUGGAUUUCCAUGGAUUACAGCUGAAAUAUUGAUCAAUUUCCAUGGAAACAGGAGCUUUUGCCAUGGAAAGUUGGACUUAGUAAAAUUUUGGGAUGGAAAAUAGCAUAGAAAUAACUUAGAAAAUUUUUGUGAUAGAAAUUGAUGGAAACUGUGGUCUUAGAAUUUUUUUGGAGGUAUUUCUUGUGGACAUAGAAUAUUUUAAUGGAUUAGUAAGUUUUAUGACCAAUAACUACAACUAACUUAAUUAGAUAGGUAAAACAACUAAUGAAAUUACAGUAAAACCUGUCUUAAGAAGCCAGCCAAGGCAGUAAGAAAAAGUGGCUGCUUAUGGCAGAUGGCUGCUUAAUGCAGGUAAUUUAUAGCAUGAAUAACUAUUUUGGGAAAUGAGACACUGGCUGCCUAAGACAGGUUGGCUGCUUAAUAGAGGUGACUGCUAAAGCAAGUUUUACUGUAAAACAUUUAUUGUAAUGCAACUUGUCAUAUAAACUCACCUUGCAGAUAGAUUCAUUUUGAACUAAUCUUUAAAAAGAUAUUGAAAUAUCAUGACUUUUUCUCCUAGGAUAACACCAAAAAAGAACAGCACUAAAUAUUACAAUUCUUUACACCAACAUUCAUUAUAAGUUACCUGGCCAAGGGAUUCUUAGUUAAUCAAGUAAUAAAUUAUUUGGUUCUUUUAAUCUUCUGUAGUGUACCUGUUGCUUGUCUCACAACAGGAGAUUAUCCCAGACUGCAUGAUAAGAUUUUGUCUGCUUUAUAUUUAGAAACUCAUAACAAGAGAUCAACCAAUGAAAAUAAAGUCUGUGAACUACUUCUGGGGGCUGUAAUUGUCCCUCAAAAAGUAAUCCUGAACUUUUUUUCUGUUUAAUAUCAGGGUAAACUUCAAAAAUAAUGAGUAUGUAAGUGGAAUAAAAUCAACCUGUGGUACAAAAAUAUUUUUAACAUCCCAGAUGUAUCCUCCAAUAGCUGACUGUAAAUGACACAUUUGCCCAAGAAUAUCUAAAUUUCAAAUCUACACAGGAAGUUCUUUGUUUGAGAGCAGGAUGGAGUUAUUUUACUGUGUUUACAUGCAGCUUGGAAGUUAACAAUAACUAAAAGAAUACACCAGGUGAGUUCAUAAAAUUUAUUCAUGAUUUUCCAACAGCAAUGUAGAAUACCUAUAGCAAUGUAACAAAACUAGUAAAUGGAUUCAAACUGGAAGCAGGUGGCUUUGAUUUCAUUGUGUUAUGCAACAAAUGAUUUUGCUUCAUAUAUAUUUUUGUUCAUUUAUUUAACAGCUUUUGUUUUGCAAAGUUCUAUUAAGCAGCUGCAAUUUCUAGUUUAUAAUGCUUUUAAUUUACUAAAAGGAAAAUUGGAUACUUUUUAAAUGAAAUUAUUCAAUGGGAUCAAUAAAAUUUAAGCCAGAAGAGUUAUCUCCACAGGUGGCACUGCUGUAUUACAGGGUAAACAAUGCUACCAGUCAGCUGACCACUGUUUACUAAGUAAAUUCAGAGAAUUAUAGUAUGUGUUUUUAGCCUGUUAUUAAAUUGGUUUAUUGGUGUUGCACACAUUCAUGUUAAGGAAUAUAUAAACAGCAUACAGUAUGAAUGAAUGACUGAAUGGAGAUAAUUCAGUUUAGUGACCCAAUGUAUUGUGUUCAAAGAAGGCUCCAUCCAACAAUUCAAAGACAUGUUAAUGCAGUGAGGCAACUGAUGGCAAAUGAUGGCUUUGUGACGGUUAAUGAAAACUACAUGGUAUUUUACACUGAUGGUGGCGAACAGUGACUGAAAAUUUCUCAACCAAUAGUUACAUUUAGUUGAAAGUGAUGGUAUAAUCUUAUACAGACUAUACUGAAUUAUAACAAACAGUGGAAAACAUUGAUAUACUACAAUGACAGUGGAUCUGUAUAGAAACUGGUGGCAUUUUAGCUCCAUAUUGUUCCACCUAGUGAAGAAAAGUCAAAAUUCAUAAGCAAUUUUGUUAUACUACAGACUAUUAUAAAAUUAUAAAUUAAGAUGUGACAUGUAUAAUGGUUUCUGAUUUUCAUUUCAGUCCAGUUCUGGCACCAACAUGUUUCCAUGGUAUUUCCAUGGAUUUCCACAGUUAUUUGCCAUGGCAAGCCGUCCGAAUACUCCACGGAUUGCCAUGGAAUUUCACUGGUUUUCGCGGUAAUCUGUGGUGUACCACGGAAAGCCGUGGAUUUCCAUGGAAAGCCAUGGAUUUCCAUGGAACCCUGUGGCAUUCCACUGAAAUCCAUGGAACUCCACAUUUUUUUUUCGUAUAAAGAUUAUGUAAAUUGGCAGUCCGAAUACUCCAUGGAAUAUUUUCCAUGGAUUUCCAUAGAAUUCCAUGGCAAAUCUAGAGACGGGCAACAUGUAUGCUAUUAUUUAAAUGCCCCAUUUUCAUAACCAACAGGUAUUUCUAAAAUGUUACAUUUUCCUAACCAACAUGUAUUAUUCAAAUGUCCCAUUUUCAUAACCAACAGUAAAAUUACUUAAAUGUCCCAUUUUCCUAACCAACAUGUAUUAUUUCAGACAGUAUGAGUAUGAUAUUAAAUUCAGGAAUUUCUCCUGCUGAACUAUAA
rnacentral:lncRNA from 1 species